rnacentral:lncRNA from 1 species
GAAACUUGCCCGACAGUCGCUCCUUGGUACAAAAACAUGACAUUGCUAGCAUCAAACUUGUAAGGACCCCAAUUUGUGUUCUUGACACUGAUUUGGGUUGUGAAUUUUGUGUCGAAUGAAGGUGUUGUUGGGACAGAGUUGAGUUCUUGUACGUUGAUGUUCCCUAGCCGGACCUUGAGUGUCUUCACUUUCAUCACAGUAAGGCUAAUCACAGUAAUGACGAUGAUCUGAAACACAAUGAAAAUAGCAACAUAGAUGGCCAAUUUGAUUCUCUUCUUGCGUUUGAGCUCGUCAGUGGAUAGCAACCACUCAGCAUCACUUCUUUGUAACCAUGGUUUGCUGGUGCUGAAGGAUAAGUUGAGUGCAUCCAAUUAUGGUGGAAAACAAGCCGACGACAUUGUCCAUUAUGGAUAUAAGUAGAAACCUUAGAUUUCAAAAACUUCUGCAUAGACAUAGGAAUAGCCAAAGCAUCUAUAAUAGGCUCAGUUAACCAAACUGCAUAACCGAGACCUUUUGUUAUAAAAAUCACACCUAAUAAUAGGUGGUUAAGUUUGCGGGACAAUGUCUGUAGAAAGCUUAUCAUAGUGUUCGAGCAUGUUAUUAGGGAUAGAGAAGGUCCAUUGGCGAGUCCUUGCACUGAGAAGUAGUGCUUCUAAUGCAGCGUAGGAAAUGGAAGUCUCUCUGGCUUGAAUAGAGGCAACGGUAUUUUCAUACAGAGGGCCAACGUUGUUCAUAAUUGUGGUAAUAAGGUCAGCAUCAGAUAUGGGCGAACUAGAAGGGCAAGUUAGUCAGCCAAAGCGUUGAUUUUAUCUAGAAAAUCAGCGAUGCAGUGAUCACCACGACAAAGAUUGAGAAGCACACCUCAAAGUGGAAUAACCCUAUUGUGGGAGGAAGGACCAUAUCGCUCUUGAAGAGCAUUCCAUGCCUCAGCAGCAUUGAUACAUUUCACUAUUAAAUGUUGAAAAAUAAAAAGAAAGUAUUUUAGGAUAUGAUUUAAUCAGUGAUUUUAUAUGAUUUAAUUAGGGCUUUGAUAUGAUUUGAUUUGGUUUAAGUUUCCUUGUCUUGUAGAAAAAGGAUUGUUUUGAUUUAUUUCUUAGUAUUGCUUUUUUGUAAUCUUAUAAAUACCUCCUUAUGGAGAAGAAUAAAAUAUUGAAGUUGUUAUUCGAGAAUCGUGAGAUUGUAGAUAAUUCUUAAAUUUGUCCUAAACCCUUUAUUUUCAACUUGGUAUCAGAGUAAAGUUUGAUUCUUGGUUGAAUUUUGCUGUGAGAGCUUCCUUGUGGGUGCGCGAGGCUAAUUUUCUUCAUGCACCCACAUGCCAUGAAUUUGAGGGUGAAGAUUGUCUACGAUUGUUAGAAGAAAACAAAUUUUCGCUACCAUGAACAAGAGAAAAUGGAAGAAAAAGGUAUGGUUUUGUUCCCUUGGAGAAGAGAUUAGCAAAAAAAAUAAAAAUUUAGUCAUGGUAGGAUCUGUUUCCUAUCAUGGGUGUUUUUUUGUAUUUUAUUUUAUUUUUUCUAGUAAGUUUAGUUUGUUUUUGAGUUUGAAGAAGAGAAAAAAUAAAAACGAAAAAAAAAUGAGAAAAAAGAUAUUAAAAAAAAAAGAUUUGGUGGUUGGGGCUUCUGGAAAGAGGCGUUAGUUUUUUUGGGCUUUUGAAAAGAUUAGCAUUUGUUCCAACUGGACUUUCGAAAAGAGGCGUUAGUUCCAACAUAUCAAGAGAUUUAUUUAUCUGGCUUUCCAAAAAAGACGUUAGCUCUAAUUGGGCUUUCGAAAAGAUUAGCAUUAGUUUUAGUUGGGCAUUCGAAAAAAGGCGUUAGUUCCGAGGAUUAUGAUUUGUUAGUCGGGCAUUCGAAAAGAGGCAUUUGUUCUAGUUGGGCUUACGAAAAGAUAGGCACUAGUUCUAGUCGUACAUUCGAAAAGAGGCAUUAGUUAUGUCGGAUUGUGAUUUGUUGAGCUUUCAAAAAGAUUGAAAUUAGUUUUAGCAUGUAAAUGAAGAUUUCACAUCAUGAGUUUGAGGGGGGGGUGUUGGAAAAUAAAAAGAAAAGUAUUUUAAGAUUUGAUUUAAUUAGUGAUUUUAUUUGAUCUAAUUAGGGUUUUGAUAUGAUUUGAUUUGGUCUAGGUUUCCUUGUCUUGUAGAAAAAUGAUUUUUUUUAAUUUAUUUCCUAGUAUUGCUCUUUUGUAAUCUUAUAAAUACCUCCUUAUGGAGAAAAAUAAAAUAUUGAAGUUGUUAUUCGAGAAUCGUGAGAUUGUAGAGAAUACUUAAAUUUGUCCUAAACCCUUUAUUUUCAAUUUGGUAUCAGAGCAGAGUUUGAUUCUUAGUUUGAACUUUGCUGCAAGCGCUUCUCUAUGGGUGCACGAAGCUAAUUUUCUUCGUGCACUCACCAGCCAUGAACCUGAGGGUGAAGAAUAUCUACUAUUGUUAGAAGAAGAUAAAUUUCUGCUGCCAUGAGGAAGAAAAGAAAGAAAAGAAGAACAAAAAAAGAACAAGAAGAACAAAAAAAGAAUUGUAGAAAAAAAAAAGAAAAAAAAAAGAGAGAUUUAGUGGUUGGAGACAGUAUCGGUGUUGUUCGAAAUGGGCCCUAGGUUUGUCUCUCUGAUAAUUCUAUAUGGUAUUAGAGCCAGGGAACAGGCUAGUAAUGUACUGCCACGUGAUGGAUGGGUCUGCUUGGCCCCACACAAUGAUGAUGGGUUCCUUGCCCCGCAUGUAGGGUGAGUCCCCUUGGUUGUCGAUAUGCGGAUCUUACACGUGUGACCUACUAAUUGGGUCCCACGUGAUGAGGCGUGUUGAAAUUUCCCACAUUGACCUAGCUAUGAGAAAAUAAGAGUUUAAAUAUUCUAACCUCACUCUAACUAACACUAAGGCCUUUUGUAAUAAAACCUCUCACCUGACGGAUUGUGCAGGUGAUAAUUACCAAGUUGGGAACAAUAUCGAUGUUGUUGAAAGUAGGUCAUCGGCCAGUCUCUCUGAUCUACCACUAGAGAACCCUCUGGUCUGGUUGAAUCCAGGGUUCGAAAAAGAAUUAAUCUCAUCUGUGAGUUGGCCUUCUGUGUCUAAAGGAAAGCCGGAUGACAUUAAGAGGUUCCAUUAUCGAUGAAUCGUAGAAAGCUAUGAAUGCAUUGCAAUGAUAUAAAUUGUUCCUCCAUAGGGAUAGUUAUGUCCAUCGAGUUUGAGAGGUAAGAAAUGUGACACAUGUUGUGCUAGGAUAGCACCAAACCCGUUGGAACCAGCUCAAGCUAACCCACAAGAAAUAUAUAAAAUGGAAUGCAAAAACAAAAUAUAAAGGACACCAAGAUUUUAACGAGGUUCCUCAACAGUCAGUGUAACUGGAGUACGUCCUCGAAGCAGUAGAAGCUCACCCAAUAAUCCACUAUCAACCAAAUGGGAGUUUACAAAGUGUUGGCAAGCUCACAACCCAAAACCCCAAUACAACCAAUAGCUCUCACACACCAAAGAAACAAAUAAAGAAAGAAAUAUUGUGAAUAAUUUCUUCUCUAUACAAAGCUCAAAGCUAUUACAACAACAACUCCCUUGGUGGGUGAAAACUAACCAAAGAGAAGAGCACAUUCUUCUUCUCUUCAAAGAGGGGCUGCUGCACUUCUAUUUUUUCUUCUCUAUCUUUCUGGUGCACUCUAAAACUACCUUCAGAAAAUGCUCUCUAUUUUCUGCACAUUUUACAACUCUCCUUCCGUUUCUCUCAUUUCCAAAACGGCAACAAGUGGGAGGACAAAAGCUGAAUUUUCUACCUUUGAAAAAGCCAAAGAAAAAGGAAACAUAAUCAUUUGUCUCCUCAUAAUGAUGUUCCCACAUCAUUAUGUCCAUCAUUUUUAUUAUAUGCUUUUGGCCACUUGGCCACUAAUUCAACAAUUUCCACCUUGGCCAAGUUUCGAAAAUGCCAUGAUAAGCCAACCAACACAAUCAACACAAAAAUUCAUUCUCAAAUACUAGCAAGAGAACAACUCAUGCCAAGCCAAAUGCUCCAAAACUCCUACUGCUCAACGCCUUCUUUAUAUAGGCAUAAUGUGAGCCAAGUUCAAGCAGUGAACAAACUUGGCUACACCAACAACCUUAGUCAACAUAUCAUCAGGGUUGUCUUUAGUUGAAAUCUUCUGGAGAAUGAUCUCUCAUUCACCAACGACUUCAUGCACAAAGUGAUAAUGCACAUCUAUGUGCUUGGUCCUCACAUGAUGAACCUGAUACUUAGCUAAAUAAAUGGCACUCUGACUAUCACAAUGUACCUCCACCUACUUCUGAUCAACCCCUAAAUCUUUAAUCAGCCCAUGUAUCCAAAUGACCUCCUUUAUAACUCCAGCAACUACCAUAUAUUCAGCCUCUGUAGUAGACAAGGCAACAGACGACUGCAAAAUGGACCUUUAACAAACUGGCCCUUUAGCCAUAGUAAACACAUAGCCUGUAGCAAACUUUCUUCCAUCCAGAUCACCUGCAUAAUCUAAAUUAACAUAACUAACUGCAAAAUGACCAAUACCAGAGUCAUCUCUCUCAAAGCAUAAACCAACGUCUCGAGUACCAUGGAGAUACCUCAAUGUCCACUUAGCUGCUUACCAAUGCUCUUUACCUGGAUUAUGCAUAUAUCGACUCACCAUGCCAACUGCAUGAGCAAUAUCCGGUCUAAAGCAUACCAUUGCAUACAUCAAACUACCAACCAAAUUUGCAUAUGGUAUAUUUUUCAUUUGCAGCUUCUCUUUAUCAGUUUUAGGACAUUGUAGAGAACUCAAUUUAAAAUGACUAACUGGCUUGGUUGAAUCAUAAACUCCAAACUUCUAAAUCAACUUCUCAAGGUAUUGUCUUUGAUUCAAACUGACCAAACCUUUCUCUCUAUCUCUAGUGAUUUCCAUGCCAAGAUCCUUCAUCUCAAACUCAUUCUUCAUUUGCUUCUUCAAUUUCUCAAUUUCUUCGGCAUUCUUUGAGGCAAUCAACAUAUCAUUAACAUAUAUUAACAAAUAAAUGAAAGACCCAUCUUGCAACUUCUUGAAGUACACAUAAUGAUCAUAUUGACUUCUAAAAUAAUUUUGGCCUCUCAUAAAUUUAUCAAACCUCAAAUACCAUUGCCUUGGAGAUUGUUUCAAUCCAUAAAGUGAUUUCUUCAAUUUGCAAAACAAAUUUUCCUUCCCUUUCACUGUAUACCUAUCCGGUUGACACAUAUAGAACUCUUCAUUCAAAUCACCAUGUAGGAAAGCCGUCUUCACAUCGAGUUGCACAAGCUCAAGAUCAUAUUGUGCAACAAGAGCUAACACAAUGCGAAUUGAAGAGUGCUUCACAACCGGAGAAAAGAUUUCGUUGUAGUCAAUGCUCUCCUUUUGUGCAUACCCUUUAGCAACUAAUCUUGCUUUGAAUCUCACAUUGCUUUUCUCAUCAGCACCUUCCUUCUUGGCAUACACCCAUUUGCAACCGAUGGCUUUCUUGCCGUUAGGCAAUUUAGCUAACUCCCAAGUCUUGUUCUUCAAGAGAGAAUUCAUCUCAUCAUCCAUGGCAUUGCACCACCUCUCCUUUUCUUCACUCCCAAUAUUUUCCUCAAAAUUGAAUAGAAUCUCAUCAGUGAUAAUAGGAUGAGUAAAAGAACCAUAGUCACUAUACCGAGCUGGCUUAAUAAUUUGUCUCUUUCCUCUGUUCUUGGCAAUAAACUCUUGAGGUGAAACUUCCUCUUCAACUUGAAUAGAAUCUUCAAGUUCAACUUCUUCAACAUCCUCAUGGUCUCCAACUUCUUCACUUGUAGUAGCUUCGACAUCAGCAGAAAUAGGACUUGAAAUACGAGAGGCAACUUUCUCAAGCUCCACCUGUUAGACAUCUUUCACAUUCUUCUUAGAGUCUUUGUACAUACUUUCUUCAUCAAAUGUCACAUCUCUGCUAAUUACAAGUUUCUUCAUCUCUAGGCACCACAAUCUAUAACCUUUGACACCACUACUAAAACCAAGAAAGAUAGCAUUUUUGGCUCUAGGAUCAAGUUUAUUUUCAAUCACAUGAAGAUAAGCAGGUGAACCAAAAAUACGGAUAUAGUCAUAAUCAGAAGAAGGGUUUCCAUUCCAUACCUUCAUUGGUGUCUUACCCUGAACAGCAACUGAGGGUAACCGGUUGAUGAUGUGACAUGCAUAAUUAAUUGCCUCUGCCCAAAAUGACUUGCUCAAACACGACUGAGACAACAUGCAUCUAACCUUCUCAAGCAAGCUUUGAUUCAAUCUUUCUGCAACUUCAUUUUGUUGUGGAGUUCCCCGGACACUAAAAUGUCUCACAAUCCCUUCCUCUUUGCAAACUUUAAAAAAAGGGUCGGAUGUGUAUUCUCCACCAUUAUCCGAUCGCAAAAUUUUAAUCUUUCUCCCAGUUUGGUUCUCAACCAAUUUCUUCCAACUCAAGAAAAUGCUCAAUACCUCACUCUUAUGCUUCAUAGUGUAGACCCAAGACCUUCUUGAAUAAUCAUCAACAAAGGUCACGAACCAAUGUCUACAAUUCAAAGAGGGAGUCUUUGUAGGACCCCAAACAUCCAAAUGCACAUAAUCAAGAAUGCUCUUCGUCUAAUGUAUUGCAGUACCAAACUUCAUGCUAGUUUGCUUUCCCAAGACACAAUACUCGCAGAAAUCAAGCUUACAAAUCGUGGCACCUUUUAGAAGAUCUUUUUUCACAAGCCCUUGUAGAGCUUUCUCACUGGCAUGGCCUAAUCUCAUAUGCCACAAUCUAAUAGUAUCUGAAUCAGAUGUGCCCAUAUUUUUUUAGACUACAAACACUUCACCUGUCACGAUGCUUCCUUGCAAUAGAUUCAAAUGACCACAUCGAGGAGCUUUCAUCACAACAAGUGCACCAUAAGUAACUUUCAAUGUCUGCCCAUCUAAAUGAAACCUAAAGCCCUUGGAUUCUAAAGUGCCCAAAGAAAUAAGAUUUUUCUUCAAAUUCUGUACAUACUGAACACCUGUCAACUCUUUAACCAUGCCAUCAUGCAACUUUAAAUGAACUGUACCAAUCCCUUUUGUUGUACAAGGAUUGUCAUCUCCCUUGAAAACAACACCACCAUCAAAGUCUUUCAAGCUUGAAAACCAAUCCUUGUGAUGAGUCAUAUGAUGAGUACAACCCGUAUCCAACACCCAUUUAGUAGCACAAUCAAAUGAUGAGGAAGUGAUUAAAGCAAAAUCAAAAAAUUUGUUUCAACCUCAGCAACAUUGGCUUCAUCUUUCUUCCAAUGACCCUUAUUAUGACAAAAGGCACAUUCAUACAUUUCCAAGGUUUUUCUACCUUUAGAGUUUCCUCUAGGUCGAGAGUAUGAUUUUUUCUUACUAGAAGAGGACCUCCUCUCCGAUGAUCUACCUUUAACAAAUAAAGCUUCAAAGGUACUAUCAUGAUUUUUAUCUCUAUACCUCAUUUCAUAAUUCAUCAAGGCAUUUGACACAUCUUCAAAUUUCAUAGUUUCUUUACCAUGCAUAAUAGUGGUAACAAAAUGCUCAUAAGAGUCCGGCAAGGAACUCAACAAUAUUAAGGUCUUAUCUUCAUCUUUAAUAUCCUCAUCUAAAUUUAACAAGUCGGAAAUCAACUAAUUAAAAGCAUCAAGGCGUCUAAUCAUUUUUGUACCUUUUUUGUAUUGGAAGCGGUAGAGCUUUUUCUUCAAGUGUAGCUGGUUCUCUGCACUCUUCGUCAUAUACUUGUCUUCCAAUUUUUGCCACAACACACUUGCUACUGUCUCCCGCAUCACAAAAUACUUCUGAGUUUUUGCAAGGCAUAACCGAAUUGAAGAGCAAGCCCACAAAUUUAAUUUCUCCCAUUCCGACUUCGACAUAGCUUCCAGCUUCUCUCCUAGAGCGGCAAGUAGAUCUUGUUGAGCCAACACAUCUUUGACCUCAAAUUGCCACAUCCCAUUGUUUGUGCCAUCAAACUUUUCCACUUCGAACUUUGCAUUUUGCACCGUAGUUCUUGCAAACCUGGAGCUACUUCCAAAAGGAUUCUCAUCUUGUCCGUCUGACAUCUUUGGCAACUAGACAGUACCCAAGAGCAGCCAGUGUUCUGAUAUCAAUUGUUGUGCUAGGAUAGCACCAAACCCGUUGGAACCAACUCAAGCUAACCCACAGGAAAUAUAUCAAAUGGAAUGCAAAAACAAAAUAUAAAGGACACCAAGAUUUUAACGAGGUUCCUCAACAGUCAGUGUAACUGGAGUACGUCCUCGGAGUAGUAGGAGCUCACCCAAUAAUCCACUAUCAACCAAAUGAGAGUUUACAAAGUGUUGGCAAGCUCACAACCCAAAACCCCAAUACAACCACUAGCUCUCACACACCAAAGAAACAAAUAGAGAAAGAAAUAUUGUGAAUAAUUUCUUCUCUAUACAAAGCUCAAAGCUAUUACAAUAACAACUACCUUGGUGGGUGAUUACUAACCAAAGAGAAGAGCUCCUUCUUCUUCUCUUCAAAGAGGGGCUGCUGCACUUCUAUUUUUUCUGCUAUGUUUUUCUGGUGCACUCUACAACUACCUUCAGAAAUGCUUUCUAUUUUCUGCACCUUUUACAACUCUCCUUCCGUUUCUCUCAUUUCCAAAAAUGCAACAAGUGGGGGGACAAAAGCUGAAUUUUCUACCUUUGAAAAAGCCAAAGCAAAAGAAAACAUAAUCAUUUGUCUCCUCAUAAUGAAGUUCCCACAUCAUUAUGUCCAUCAUUUUUAUUAUAUGCUUUUGACCACUUGGCCACUAAUUCAACAACACAUUGGAGAGGGAAGAUGCAGCAAGAUAAGCCAUGGUGAGUGAAGAAAUUUUCGUUGCACUGGGAGAGGGUGAUACCAUGAAAGAAUUGUGCUCGAUGGGUGAGUAGUCAUUGUAUUUCACUAUAUAUAUAGAACGGGUGACGAACAAACUCUUCAAAACUAAAAAAAUUAUGAACAUAAUUUUGAGAAAGCUACAUUUAAAAUCGAACAACAUUUGACAGUUUCAGCAUCCCAAAGGAUUGUACUGUUGAUAAAGUUGUGGCAAGUGUUGAGGUGAGGAUAUCACUUAAGUCAUUUGCGGCUGCGUUUGCAUAGAUGUGGUGGGAUAUAUAAUAUUCAGAUUUGGUUUACCAUGGGCAGCCUGUAAUGCAUUAUGUUUUGAGGAAUCGUCUCGUCAUGUUUCUUUUAUUGUUCAUGAUAUUAAGUUACAGCUGAUUGAGAUUGAUUCUUUGAGCAUAGCUACCAUGCGAAAACUCCAUGUCUGAUCUUUGUCUCCUUCGUGCCAUGGGAGUUAAGGUCGUCCAGCUAAGGCUCCUCAUAUUUAUGAGGUUCUGUGGUUGCCUCCUCCUGUAUCUUGGAUUAAUUUUACCAUAGAUGGCACGGCUCUUGGUGCCCUUGGUUUGGUGGGAAGUGGGGGUGUUUUUGGAGACCAAUUUGGCAACGGUUUACACUGUUUUGCAUCUUCAAAAGACAUGCUUAUUCUUUAGAACGAGAGUUUCAUGCAGUUAUUUAAGCCAUGGAUUAAUCUUGGGCAAAAGGUUGAAAUUUUUUGUCAAUUGAAUGUGAUUCUUUUUUAGUGGUCCUUUAUCUUUCUUUGCUUCUGGCAAGAUUUCCUGGCAUCCGUGUGUUCCUUGGAUUAAUUGCCUUGUUUUUUCUCUCCCAAAUGCACGUUUAUGUCACUCAUAUUUUUGGACAUGGUUAUGCAGUUGUUCACAGUUUUGGCUAAUUUCGGUGUGGAUCAUUCUGGGAAUUUAUAUUUGGAUUCUUGCCCCCCUUGUCCAACUUUUGCUUACAUUUGUAACUUUUCUUCAUGACCUAAUUUUAGGUUUUGCUUGUAUGGUCCUUGAUAUUUUGUUUCCUUUGUGUCGAGUGAAAGAGGUUUGGUUUCCUUUUUCUUUUCUUUCACUGAUUUUAGCUUGAUGCUUGUCAGCUUUUCUCUACAUGUACUUUAUUGUUAUGAACUCUUAGAUUGUACUGGCUCAAUGAGCUCUAUUUUUCUGCCAAAAAAACAAGGGGUGUGAUAUCCACAAAUCCCAUUUUACUUCUCACACACUUUUUUAAUUUUCGGCCGUCGGAUCGGAUGAAUUGAAGAAGAUCAACAGAUAGAAAUUAUCAAGGGUGUGUGAGAAAUAAAAUAGGAUGCGUGGAUAGCACAUCCCAAAAACAAUUACUAUUGCUUUUGCUUUAUAAUUUAUUAAAGGGAAGUGGCAUGUCAUGCUUGAAGAAAAGAACUCCUCUGCCUUUCAAAAGAUAACAAUUCAGGAAAAAAAAAAAAGUUAUAACAGUAAAAGAAAACAAAAAUUCUCCUUAUAAUGGAUCAAAAGAAAAAACCAAAAGAGAUAUGAUGGAUGAAAAAUCCCAGGUAAGUGCCUUUAAGUUUCUGGUAAACAAAUAGCUAAGCCAGAUGGAAAUAUGGACAAGAAAAUUGGGUGGUAUCCUUAAUGGAUAACAAAUCAAAGUGCCACACAGAGGAAACGAAUAAAAGAAUAAAAUACAACAAAGCAAGAGCUAGUCGCAAUACAAAUGCUCUGCGAAUUAUGUAGCCUGGAUCCCUAUCGACUAUGAUCACUUGCACCGUAAACUUUUGAGGGUCUUUGAUGACAGAUCAAAUGCAAUUGUACAAUCCAUGGUGGAGGACUUCUUCUUCUUCAUUAUAAGCAUCAGUUCCACCUUUCCAUUCAACUUAGCCGCGCUGUUGAGAGUCAAUACGCCACUGGACAGUUCACUCCCAAGAUUGGAACCGCCUAAUGCACUUGAACUCAAGCUCACUUCGACAGUGAUCUUUUUGGUGGAAAGCAUGCCAGCCUUGCUCUUUGGAAUAGAAACUUGCCCGACAGUCGCUCCUUUGUACAAAAACGUAACACUGCUAGCAUCGAACUUGUAAGGACCCCAAUUUGUGUUCUUCACAUUGAUUUGGGUUGUGAAUUUUGUGUCGAAUGAAGGUGUUGCUGGGAUGGAGUUGAGUUCUUGUACGUUGAUGUUCCCCAGCCGGACCUUUGGCGUUUUAACUUUCAUGACAGUAAGGCUAAUCACGGUUAUGACGAUGAUCUGAAACACAAUGAAAAUAGCAACAUAAAUGGCCAAUUUGAU